rnacentral:rRNA from 1 species
GUCGAACGGUGAACACGGAGCUUGCUCUGUGGGAUCAGUGGCGAACGGGUGAGUAACACGUGAGCAACCUGCCCCUGACUCUGGGAUAAGCGCUGGAAACGGCGUCUAAUACUGGAUACGAACCAUGAAGGCAUCUUCAGUGGUUGGAAAGAUUUAUUGGUUGGGGAUGGGCUCGCGGCCUAUCAGCUUGUUGGUGAGGUAAUGGCUCACCAAGGCGUCGACGGGUAGCCGGCCUGAGAGGGUGACCGGCCACACUGGGACUGAGACACGGCCCAGACUCCUACGGGAGGCAGCAGUGGGGAAUAUUGCACAAUGGGCGCAAGCCUGAUGCAGCAACGCCGCGUGAGGGAUGACGGCCUUCGGGUUGUAAACCUCUUUUAGCAGGGAAGAAGCGAAAGUGACGGUACCUGCAGAAAAAGCGCCGGCUAACUACGUGCCAGCAGCCGCGGUAAUACGUAGGGCGCAAGCGUUAUCCGGAAUUAUUGGGCGUAAAGAGCUCGUAGGCGGUUUGUCGCGUCUGCUGUGAAAUCCGGAGGCUCAACCUCCGGCCUGCAGUGGGUACGGGCAGACUAGAGUGCGGUAGGGGAGAUUGGAAUUCCUGGUGUAGCGGUGGAAUGCGCAGAUAUCAGGAGGAACACCGAUGGCGAAGGCAGAUCUCUGGGCCGUAACUGACGCUGAGGAGCGAAAGGGUGGGGAGCAAACAGGCUUAGAUACCCUGGUAGUCCACCCCGUAAACGUUGGGAACUAGUUGUGGGGUCCAUUCCACGGAUUCCGUGACGCAGCUAACGCAUUAAGUUCCCCGCCUGGGGAGUACGGCCGCAGG